rnacentral:rRNA from 1 species
CCUGGCUCAGGAUGAACGCUGGCCGGCGUGCAUAACACAUCAAGUCGAACGAAGCAUAGGGAACGGAGCCUUCGGGCGAAGAGAACUAUGACUUAGUGGCGGACGGGUGAGUAACGCGUGAGCAACCUUCCUGCCUGUGAGGGAUAACACAGGGAAACUUGUGCUAAUACCGCAUGACGUAUGGAGAUCGCAUGGUCAUCAUACCAAAGAUAUAUUGCAGGCAGAUGGGCUCGCGUCUGAUUAGAUAGUUGGCAGGGUAACGGCCUACCAAGUCGACGAUCAGUAGCCGGACUGAGAGGUUGAACGGCCACAUGGAACUGAGAGACGGUCCAGACUCCGUACGGGAGGCAGCAGGUGGGGAAUAUUGGGCAAUGGGCGAAAGCCUCGACCCAGCGACGCCGCGUGAAGGGAAGAAGGUCUUCGGAUUGUAAACCUCUUCGGCAAGGAAGAAGAAAGUGACGGUACUUGCAGAAGAAGCCACGGCUAACUACGUGCCAGCCGCAGC